CAGAAACUUGAGAAGUGAAUGAGCUUAAAGGUGUGUAUUUUAACCUGCCCUGCGCUCAUCAGGGUGAAAAGCUGAACAUUCUCUGCACGGAAGUGGGAAAUUUGUUGAUUGCGAGAGUCAGGAGUGGAGAAGAAGAAGCUCUCUCCCCCUCAUCCUUCUGUAGCCGUCGAUGACAGACUGGAGUGCAGUUUGACUCGGGAUAGAAAUCCAUCCUGACUUGUGUUAACCUCCCUCCCUGCACCAUCGUGCUGCAGCUGCUGAGCCCCACCAUGAGGCCUGGUCCUUUCCCCUGCUGGUGCUCUGGCAGUCAGAGCCUUCCUGGCACAGGGAUCUGGGGACAUAAAUUCCAGAUGAGCACCUUUGAUUCCCUCAGACAAUGAUAAUGCAGAGAUGAUUGACACCUACAGCUUGGGAAGAGAUGUGCUCAGCACUGAUCCCAGAGGAUGUGCCUUUCAGCAGGAAGCAGGAGAAGCAGAGCAGAUCCAUGUGCAGCCCCAGGUGUGUUCCAGGAGUUCUGGGAGCUGGGAAGAGCAUCUGUCUUUGAGCCAGGUCUGCUCCCAGAGGAGGUGGAGGACACGGCAGUGAAACUGGAUGUUGUGUUCUCACCAUAUAAGAGAGACUAAAAAUAGCUUGGAGGAGUUGUGGAAAAUCCUGUGUUCCUGAAGUAUCUUUUGAUGUCUCUUUAUCUCAGGAUAGGAUGGGAUUUUUUGGUUGGGAUUUUUUUGUUUUGUUUUGGUUUGGUUUUGUUUGGUUUGGUUUGUUUUUUGGGGAGG
rnacentral:lncRNA from 1 species